rnacentral:rRNA from 1 species
AGAACGAACGCUGGCGGCAGGCCUCAAACAUGCAAGUCUAGGGGGCGUAGCAAUACGUCACCGGCGGACGGGUGCGUAACACGUGGGAAUGUACUUACUGGUUCGGAACAACUCAGGGAAACUUGAGCUAAUACCGAAUGUGCCCGAAAGGGGAAAGAUUUAUCGCCAGUAAAUCAGCCCGCGUCCGAUUAGCUAGUUGGCGGGGUAAAGGCCCACCAAGGCGACGAUCGGUAGCUGUUCUGAGAGGAAGAUCAGCCACGCUGGGACUGAGACACGGCCCCAGACUCCUACGGGAGGCAGCAGUUGGGAAUCUUGGACAAUGGGGGAAACCCUGAUCCAGCCAUGCCGCGUGAGUGAUGAAGGCCUUCGGGUUGUAAAACUCUUUCGACGGGGACGAUAAUGACGGUACCCGUAGAAGAAGCUCCGGCUAACUUCGUGCCAGCAGCCGC